AUCAGGUAAGAAUACCCGCUGAACUUAAGCAUAUCAAUAAGCGGAGGAAAAGAAAAUAACAAUGAUUCCCUCAGUAACGGCGAGCGAAGAGGGAUAAGCUCAAAUUUUAAAUCUGUUGGGUUCCACUUAACAGAGUUGUAUUUUGAAGAAACGUUUUCUGCAUCCAGGAUUAGCCUAAAUCCUUUGGGAUAAGGUAUCAUGGAGGGUGAGAAUCCCGUUCAUGGUUAAUCUUAAGGAAGCUCUACGAUACGUUUUCCAAGAGUCGAGUUGUUUGGGAUUGCAGCUCAAAAUGGGAGGUAAAUUUCUCCUAAGGCUAAAUAUUGGCGAGAGACCGAUAGCGAACAAGUACCGUGAGGGAAAGAUGAAAAGAACUUUGAAAAGAGAGUUAAACAGUACGUGAAAUUGUUGAAAGGGAAACGAUUGAAGUCAGUCAUACCAACGGGAAAUCAACCUUUUGAGCUUGGUCUCGUGGGUUUUGAAGAGUUUCAAAGCCUUCGGAUUCGCGGGAUUGGGAUCUCUCGGUGUACUUUUUCGUACGGUUAGUCAACAUCGGUUUUGAAUGUCAUAAAAUGACUGGAGGAAUGUAGCUUCGAUCUCGUAUUGAAGUGUUAUAGCCUUUGGUAGAUGUGAUGUUUGAGACCGAGGAUUGCAACGGAUACCCUUCAGGGCUAUUCGUCUGAUCUCUGAUACGUUGCCUUGAUGUUGAAAGCUUGCUUAUGAUGUUAGGGUAUUACGGUCAAAAGGUUAGAACGAAUUACGUUCGUUAAGGAUGUUGACGUAAUGACUUUAAACGACCCGUCUUGAAACACGGACCAAGGAGUCUAACAUAUAUGCGAGUGUU
rnacentral:rRNA from 1 species